CCUGAACUAAUGAAGUGCUUGCAUAGAUUUAGGGACGGAAUCUCUAGUUAGUGGCGGACGGGUGAGUAACACGUAGGUAAUCUACUUUUUAGAUUGGAAUAACUAUUAGAAAUGAUAGCUAAUACUGAAUAGGAUUAUUAAUCGCAUGAUUGAUAAUUUAAAGAAGCUUCGGCUUCACUAAAAGAUGAGCUUGGGGUGGAUUAGCUAGUUGGAGAGGUAAAGGGUCCCAAGGGUACGAUGCAUAGCUGGACUGAGAGGUUGAACGGUCACACUGGAACUGAGACAUGGUCAGACAAUUAUGGUUGGCAGCAGUAGGGAAUUUUUCGCAAUGGACGAAAGUCUGACGGAGCAAUGGCCGUGUGAGGGAUGAAGGUUUUCGGAUUGUAAACCUUUGUUGUAAGGGAAGAACAGUUAUAGUAGGAAAUGGCUAUAAUUUGACGGUACCUUACAGAAAGGGACGGCUAACUACGUGCCGCAGCCGCGGUAAUACGUAGGUCCCCGAGCGUUAUCCGGAAUUAUUGGGCGUAAAGGGCACGUAGGCGGUUAAGUAAGUUUAAUGUUAAAUACAAUGGCUCAACCAUUGCAAGGCGUUGAAAACUGUUUAACUAGAAUCUUGGAGAGGUAAGUGGAAUUUCAUGUGUAGCGGUGGAAUGCGUAGAUAUAUGAAGGAACACCAAUGGCGAAGGCAGCUUACUGGACAAAGAUUGACGCUGAGGUGCGAAAGCGUGGGUAGCAAACAGGAUUAGAUACUCUGGUAGUCCACGCUGUAAACGAUGAGUGCUAGAUAUUGGAAGAGAUUUCAGUAUC
rnacentral:rRNA from 1 species